AAAAUACAUUAUAGAGAUUUGACACUUAAUAUCAGUUAAAAUUAAAAUAUCGAUGUACGUAGCUGGUAAUUAAUGAAUGAUGUGCAUUUGUUUCUUUGUUUUUAAGCCUCCAUAGUUCAGGCUUCAAUAAUCAUUUUAAGCAAUGUUUGCUAGUCAAAUUGUAGUUAAAACAGUAAAAAUGUAUAACUUAAAUAAUAUUUUAAUUUCAAACAAAUAUGAUUCUAUACUGUAUUGGCGAAUGUAUAUAUUAUGGUGCCAGUAUAGCAAGCGACACAAAAUUAGCCAAAUUAAUAUCAUAUAAAAAAAACACUAACUGUUUACCUAUAUCAAGUAAAAAACAUUCAAUUUGGAUUCAAAAUACAAUAAAAAAUAUAAACAUACAUGGAUUAAAA